CUAUGGUCUGAAUGUCUGUGUUCCCUUAAAUUCAUACACUGACGCCUAAUGCCCAUUGUGACAGUAUUAGAAAGUAGGGCCUUUGGGAGGCAAUUGGGAGGACCUCCUUUGGGAGGUCAUGAAGGCCCUACCCUCAUAACUGGUAUUACGAAGAGACAUCUGAAGAGCUAGUUAGCUCCUUCCACCAUGUAAGAACACAGCAAGAAGGCACCAUGUAUGAACCAGAGAGCAAAAGCUCUCACCACACACCGAAACUGCCGGUGACUUGAUCGUGAACUUCCCAGCCUCCAGAACUCUACAGAGCAGCAUCUGAAGAGCCACGGGGCCCCCACCUUCAUCCCUGAGAAUUUUAGGAGCCAGCCUGCCUUUCCAGGUGACACUGGACACUUUCAUCUGAGAACCCUGUCACAUGACAGUUGUUUCCUUUCUUCCUCCUCUCCUGGGAAUGCUGCUGCUUCGAUGACCCAAGAGCCUAAGAAGGGUAGCUGUUUCUCAAUACACUGAGAGAGAGUUCUUUCUCCGUCCUGACCAUCUUGGGACCCGAUGGCAAGACUGGAAGGAUUUAUAUCUCCUUUUGUACAGAAAACUGCCUCCCCAUGUUGGUUUGUGAAGUGAAAUGCAUAUAAAACAGAGGAUUCCAGACUCUCAGAAGUCAAUACAUAAAUAAAUAAAAAUAAAACUGAGAAGAUACCUCAAAAUGGUCAGACUCAUUAGCAUCAUCCAGGUGUAUUUUCUCUUCAAACAGUGUCAGUGGGUCUCUAAUAAAGAGAUGAGCAACAUGCUGGGCCAGGAGAUGAUCAAUGCCUGCAAAAAGAGAUCACAUGGGAACUCACUGCAAAGCGAGAGAUACCACUUCCUCUUAGUCCAGAAAGACGACAGGAUAGCUCAGGAAGUUUGAAGAAAGGGUGUCUAGAAGCUUGAAAUAGCUGGUUUGAUUAGUAUCCUCACCUCACCCAGUAUUUUAUCCUGCGGACACUGCGGGAGUGUCAGCGUUUUAUUCACUACUUACACAAUGCCUGCUGGGGCACUGGUGUGGACCUAGACACAGACCUCCAAAGUAAGCUCCUUUUGCUAAAAAUCAAGAAAAUCUCACAAGUAUUUGGAACCUGAAACUUUAGGAACAAGUAGCCUCAUGAGAGAAGUUAAAGACUUUGCACUAAAAAUAGAAACCAGACCAGGAGUCAGCAAAAAAGUGUAAAAGAGCUUUGAAGAACUAAAGGCGUACAUUCAAACCCAGAAAGAUGGAGUAGAAACCCACCUUCCUGCAACAGCUGUUCGUAGAUCUCUUUAUCUAUCGUCAAGUCGAUGUCAUUAUAUUUCUCACCACACUUAGAUAAAUAGCUGUCUAUUGAGUCAUAUCGGGAUUUACUGAUCCUAUAGUUAUUGUUCUUCAAUGGC
rnacentral:lncRNA from 1 species